AGCCACGGUAAAUACCCGCUCCCCGAGUGGUGGGGACGGCUUAUUGGGCCUAAAGCAUCCGUAGCUGGCUGGGUAAGUCCCCCUGUUAAAUCCAGCGAUUCAAUCGCUGGACUGCGGGGGAGUACUGCCUAGCUAGGGGCGGGAGAGGCCGGCGGUAUUCCCGGGUAGGGUGAAAUCUUAUAAUCCCGGGAGGACCACCAGUGGCGAAGGC
rnacentral:rRNA from 1 species